rnacentral:lncRNA from 1 species
UUUUAUUGACCAUGCCAAGAUGAUAUAUUCUAACCGGCUAAUGACGUUACAACCGUUGAAAACGAUAUAUGUUAAGCACAAAUUUGACUAUUCUGCAGAGUCUGACAAAAAUCUAUUGAGUGGUGAAACUGAAGAGAAAGUUUGGCAUAUUCUAAGCAAAUGCAGCAAAUUGGCCCAGGGUGAAUACAGGAGAAGGCAUGACAAUGUCUCCAGAAUGUUUCACUAUCUAACUAUGUUGUAUGUUUGGAUUAGAAAAGGUGAGAAAAUUGCUUGAGCAUGAGCCAAAGGUUUUGAUGGAAAAUAACAGAGCAAAGAGACUUUGAGACUUCAUAGCCCAAUGUGAUAGAAUCGAACAUCGAGAACCCGAUACUGUACUGGUAUAAAAAAUCGUGCCUGAUCAUAGAAUUCGAUUGCCCUGGAAAUAUCAGAAUAGUCGAGAAAAAAGUUAGAAGAGGAAAA